AUGAUUUGACAGACUAUCAACAGAUCAGAUACAUACCUUGAACUUUACCAAGCAUACCAAAGUGUAUGAUACAGCUAAUAGGAUCUUAUCAGCUGUCAUGCAGUAUAAGAAGGCUUGGUCAUGAAUAGCCUGGACUCGCUGCUUCCGACCUCAAAUGUCUGAGACAAUUUCAUAAGUGAUUCACUGCUUGCUACCACAGACUAUUGUGUUAUUUCCAGAUCAGAACAAGAUAGAACUAUCAGCUGGUGCAGCUUCCCAUGAAUUUUUAGGCCUUCUAUAGUAAGCUGCUCUCACUCAUCUAUCCCAGAAUAGCGUCCAUGCAAACUCACAAAUAGAUGAACCAAAAAUAGAAUACUUAAUCCACAAGAAGCUAUCAAUCCAAUUAUCCCAGCUCUUCCCUAGCCUGACAUGUCUGUGUUGUUUAGCAAUGUCAAAAUACAUAGUCCUAGGUGGAUAUGGUGAGGGAAGCAAGGUAGACAAUGUUUCAAUUACAUGAUGUGGUGUAUUGUGUUCAUGAAAGCAACAGUAACUUGCAGGAAUUACUCUACCAUUUAUGCUCAGCCACGAGAAAUUCACUCAUGCAGUAGCAAAAUUGUGAAAAAUGGUGAAUGGAUGAUAAAACACCAUUACGCAUUCAGCAAGCAUGUUCACUCAACUCUAUGUUUUUUCUCAUAUGAUGAGCAAGUGCAUAUUUGAUAGCAGAUGAUUUGAUCGAAUUUCUAUGUGAAGGAUCUGUAGUAAAUUUAUGGAGACUGGUGUAACCAAUAGUUCACCACUACUAAAAAAACAGAACAUUACUGAAGACCGUCGAUACAGAAUUCUGGCAACAGACCUUUUAUGGACACCUGUCCUUCAAUUGCCAACUACCUAAAAGAAGGGGAUAGUGUAGAGAUCAUUUCUGAGACUGAAAAAAAAUCCAAGAAAUGCAGUCUUUUCAGAUAUUUCUGCUACAAGAUGAGGUGCAUGGAUUAUAUGGCCUGGAUCAGCUAGGAAGAUGUGGAUGAGGUCUGCAAUGUUCCCAAAUUUAUUGGUGCACUAUAUCAGUAAUUUUAUAUCAUCCCAUCAGACCAUUUGAUGGGGUCAUUGAGUUUGUUAUAAUCAAACUGGGUUACAAAGCCAAACAAGACAGGAGAAGUGUAAUUCAUAACAUCUACCAUGCCUGCAGUUGACUUGCUCCCCAAUUAUGCAGAAAGACUGCUCUGCUUGAAGUUUAAAAGGAUAAUGUUCAGAGGUCUAAGGCUUGUCAUUAGCAGAAACAAGACCAUCAUUGACAACUCUUUAAAUAUUGUUGUUGGCUGAUUAGGUUGCUAACAGGCAUAUAAAAUAAUAACAAUAAUCUAUUCAACUUUGCAUUCAGUAAGUUGUACUACUCAAAUUCAGGAUUGUAUCACAAUAUUGACAACGAGAACUAACAUUUAUAGAGUCUAUUCUUGGUUUCUAGGAUGAACAGAGAGACAAGCUAGUCAAUGCACGUGUGCAAUGAAAGAGGUUUUGAGUUCCUGCAGUGCUGAUAUCAAUUGUACCUGGAAAAGAAAUAUUCCAAGAAAACCAGCUGGUUAGAACCGGAAGGAAUAAACAUUACAGGAUUAGUGCUUUUUCAUUGUGCACCACAUACCAUCUGUUUGAUAGUUGCACUUCAUAUUUAUGUCCAACUUAGCAACACAGAUGCCAUCCCAGAAAUUUAAUCUCUCUCUCUCUCUCUCUCUCUCUCUCUCUCUCUCUCAGAUUUGAGAGAGGGGGGGGGGGGGCGAGAGAGUUUUUCACAUGUACACUAGCAUUUCAAUCCUUGACCAUCCAGCAUCAUCAUAGGAAUAUAUACCCUUGAGAAGGAUAGGAAAACUUCCAAAAAAGAUGGACAUCCAUGAAGAUGCAUCAAUAAGUCACUGCCAUCAUAUUAUGUGAGAUAAUGCAAAGAAACUUGAACAGUGAGAAAGAUGAUGCGGCUACUAAGUAUGGGCAUUAUGAGACUAAAAGUGACCCAUUAAAUGUUGCUAAAUAAGAAAGAACAUGCAGUCUUCAAAGCCCAAGAGAAGAAAUGUUUGAUGAGGGCAUAGAUUUGAUGAAAAGCCCAGUUAGACAUAGAGAGAGCAGAUGGAAAUGGAUAUGAGAAAUGAAGGUAGGGAAGAUAAUGAUGUGAAAGUGUUAAUGGUGAUGAUGACCAAACUGAUGGUAGAGGAAUUGCUCUAUUAAUCUUUUAUUUGUUGAUAUUUCAACCUUGGCAUUGAAAAUAAUCGCCAAGCUUAUCACAAUUCAAAGUAUCAUGGAUUGGAGCAGUCAUAUUAAAACCUUUCCAUUGAUUGUGAUUUCAGUUUAUUUCCUAGCCCUAGGUAUCAUGGACAUGGAGACAGUUGUGAUGACAAAAUCACUUCAAGUCACCUUAUCCAUACAGCAGUAAAGAGUACUAGCAGAUAUCUCCUAUAAACCCUUUUCUCACAUGGUAAAGUUUAUACUAAAGUAAUUAUAAUUUUCACAUUUCUUGCCCUUAUUUUGUAAGAACUCAAUAAAACUAUCUGAGCUACAACAUAUAUUUUAGUGGUCAUAUUGUGCAUACUUUUUGUAAAUGUUGCAUGAUGCACUUUUGUUUAUAAAUAUUUUCAUCCAAAUGUCCAAUUGUGAACUGAAGUUUAUACUGUUUUAGACCAAAAAUGGUUUGCAUCAGUUCAUCAAUCAGCUAAGACAAGCACACGUAGUUUGGAGGCACCUAUACAGGUGUAUAGGUGGAAGAGGAAGAAGAGAGAGAGGCAAAAGAGGUGGCUCAGAUGGUGGGGGAGUAGGAGAAGUAAAAGGAGCAUAGGGAGAAGGAGAGGUGGAGGAGGUAGGGGAGGGUGGAGGAAAAGGAGAAUGAGAACAGGAGGCAGAAGAGGGAAAGGAUAAAGAGGAGAAAGAGGGGAGGAAAGAGAUGAGGAAUGGAUGCAGAAGAGGAAAGAAGGUCAAAGAGAAUGAAAAGAAAAAAUGAUAUAAACAUAUAGCAUUGCUGCCAACCUCUAGUAGCAAUCACGCAAUUCAACAAAGUUGCAUGAUAUGCUAACUGUCCCCAGCUGCCACCAUUCUCUCUUUCACUCCUUCCUCAUUUUUGUUCUUCAACUCACAUUUAGUUCUGAAGAUGAAAGGUUAUCAGUAUGGGUGGCAAACAAUUUGAACAACUUGAGCUUGGCUUAGGCUUGGCUAGAAAAAAGCUCAGUUUAAGCUCG